rnacentral:rRNA from 1 species
UACGUAGGCAGCGAGCGUUGUUCGGAGUUACUGGGCGUAAAGAGUGCGUAGGCGGUUUCUAAGUUUGGUGUGAAAUCUCCCGGCUUAACUGGGAGGGUGCGCCGAAGACUGGAAGGCUUGAGUAUGGGAGAGGUAAGCGGAAUUCCUGGUGUAGCGGUGAAAUGCGUAGAUAUCAGGAGGAACACCUGCGGUGUAGACGGCUUACUGGACCAUCACUGACGCUGAGGCACGAAAGCGUGGGUAGCAAACAGG